AACCCAUGAUGAGGGCACCUUCUUAAUAGAUCCUUGUAUCUCUCUCAUGCAUCAUAUAAUGUCUCUAAAUUGAUCUGGGUAAAGGAAGAAAUAUCAUUCCUUACCUU
rnacentral:snoRNA from 2 species